rnacentral:rRNA from 1 species
UCGUAGUCCGGAUCGGAGUCUGCAACUCGACUCCGUGAAGUCGGAAUCGCUAGUAAUCGCGAAUCAGAAUGUCGCGGUGAAUACGUUCCCGGGUCUUGUACACACCGCCCGUCACACCAUGGAAGUAGGUUGCACCAGAAGUAGGUAGCUUAACCCUCGGGAGGGCGCUUACCACGGUGUGGCUUAUGACUGGGGUGAAGUCGUAACAAGGUAGCCGUACGGGAACGUGCGGCUGGAUCACCUCCUUUAAA